rnacentral:rRNA from 1 species
UACGUAGGGGGCAAGCGUGGUCCGGAUUUAUUGGGCGUAAAGAGCGUGUAGGCGGCUUGGCAAGUCCGCUGUGAAAACUUGAGGCUUAACCUCGAGACGUCGGUGGAAACUGCCUGGCUAGAGUCCGGAAGAGGAGAGUGGAAUUCCUGGUGUAGCGGUGAAAUGCGCAGAUAUCAGGAAGAACACCCGUGGCUAAGGCGGCUCUCUAGUACGGUACUGACGCUGAGACGCGAAAGCGUGGGGAGCGAACAGG